rnacentral:sRNA from 1 species
UUUUAGCCCCGAUAGCAGUGGAAAUCCUUUUGUGCCGGGGUUCGGCAUAAAAGAUUGUAACGGAUAGCGGGAUUAGCU